rnacentral:rRNA from 1 species
UUGGAGGGCAAGUCUGGUGCCAGCAGCCGCGGUAAUUCCAGCUCCAAUAGCGUAUAUUAAAGUUGUUGCAGUUAAAAAGCUCGUAGUUGAAUUUCGGGGUUAGUAGGUUGGUCAUGCCUCUGGUAUGUACUGGUCUCACUGAUUCCUCCUUCCUGGUGAACCUUAAUGCCAUUAAUUUGGUGUUUUGGGGAAUUUGGACUGUUACUUUGAAAAAAUUAGAGUGUUUAAAGCAAGCUAACGCUUGAAUACAUUAGCAUGGAAUAAUGAAAUAGGACGUUCGAUCCUAUUUUGUUGGUUUCUAGGAUUGACGUAAUGAUUAAUAGGGAUAGUUGGGGGCAUUAGUAUUCAAUUGUCAGAGGUGAAAUUCUUGGAUUUAUUGAAGACUAACUACUGCGAAAGCAUUUGCCAAGGAUGUUUUCAUUAAUCAAGAACGAAGGUUAGGGGAUCGAAGACGAUCAGAUACCGUCAUAGUCUUAACCAUAAACUAUGCCGACUAGGAAUCGGGCGACGUUAUUUUCAUGACUCGCUCGGCGCCUUACGGGAAAC